UUGCUUCUGCAGCACAUAUACUAAAGUUGGAGCAAUACAGAGAAGAUUAGCAUGGCCCCUGCGCAAGGAUGAUAUGUAAGUUCAUGAAGUGUUGCAUUUUUUC